GCCGAAAUGGCGGAAUUGGUAGACGCAGCGGAUUCAAAAUCCGCCGGGCUUGCGCUCGUGAGAGUUCGACUCUCUCUUUCGGCACCA
rnacentral:tRNA from 1 species